AGUUGUCUAAAUUUGGACGGCCGGUGAGUGUUUAAUGGCUUUUGUAGUUUCUCUUGUUUCUUUGUUUCUCUUGUUUUUAUAGUCUUAGAAACUUGUGAUUCGGAUUUGGAGUUGGCCAUAAAUGUCUUAUGGUUGUAAUUUGAGUGAAUUAUGCUUUUGGAAAGUUGUUUUAUCUUCUACUUGUGCAUACAGUCCUACUAAUAGUAAAAAAAUCUUACCAGAUUUUAGUUCUGAUAUUCAUAUGAUUAUCUGUCAGUUGAGUUUUACCAGCCUUAAGUCUUCAGUCAAUUUUCUUAAAUUCUUGAUGCAAAAUCCUAAUGUUAAUGAGCUUAACAGAUUAUGAUACACGUAAUAUUUAAGCAGGAAUAGGUGCUGUAAAUAAUUAACCGAACUUUCAUCGUCUUUACUUUAGACUUGAGUCGCAUAAUUAUUUCCUUUCUUGUGUACUUGAUGAUAAAAUAAGUAGGUUCAAAUAAUAUGGAAGUGCUGAAUGAAGAAGAUGUUACGCAUAAAAGAUAAAAAGCAUCAAAUGUUGUAAAGAUUCAAAACAGUAUACAGAUAAAUCAGGGAUAUUGGCUAAAGUUUAUGAAUGCUUGUUGAUAUUAAGAAAUAUUAAUUGUUGUGACUGACUGCUGGCUCAGAGUCCGUUUUCCUGUGAUUGAAAUCGUUUGCACUAGGUUUACUGGAAUAUGGUAUUCUCAUGUCAAUGAGCACUUGAUGUUGAUGUGCAGGCCAAAAUGAGGA
rnacentral:misc_RNA from 1 species